rnacentral:hammerhead_ribozyme from 1 species
AUCCAGCUGACGAGUCCCAUAUUGGACGAAACGCGCGUUCUGGUU